rnacentral:rRNA from 1 species
GGACUGCCGGUGUUAAACCGGAGGAAGGUGGGAUGACGUCAAGUCCUCAUGGCCUUUAUGCCCAGGGCUACACACGUGCUACAAUGGGUGGUACAAAGAGCAGCCAGCUCGCGAGAGUGAGCAAAUCUCAAAAAGCCAUCCUCAGUUCGGAUUGAAGUCUGCAACUCGACUUCAUGAAGUCGGAAUCGCUAGUAAUCGCGGAUCAGCACGCCGCGGUCGAAUACGUUCCCGGGCCUU